CAGUCGCCGCGGUAAUACAGAGGGUGCGAGCGUUAAUCGGAUUUACUGGGCGUAAAGCGUGCGUAGGCGGCUUUUUAAGUCGGAUGUGAAAUCCCUGAGCUUAACUUAGGAAUUGCAUUCGAUACUGGGAAGCUAGAGUAUGGGAGAGGAUGGUAGAAUUCCAGGUGUAGCGGUGAAAUGCGUAGAGAUCUGGAGGAAUACCGAUGGCGAAGGCAGCCAUCUGGGCCAAUACUGACGCUCAUGCACGAAAGCGUGGGGAGCAAACAGGAUUAGAUACCCCUGUAGUCCCUGUCUCUUAUAC
rnacentral:rRNA from 1 species